GCAUGUGUCCCCGGAAUCGCAUGGUUCCGGGAAGAAAGGUGGCCUCUCCUUGGAAGCUAUCGCUUAAGGAUGGUCCCGCGUCCCAUUAGCUUGUUGGUGGGGUAAUGGCCUACCAAGGCGACGAUGGGUAGCCGGCCUGAGAGGGUGUCCGGCCACACUGGGACUGAGAUACGGCCCAGACUCCUACGGGAGGCAGCAGUCGAGAAGCUUCGGCAAUGGGCGAAAGCCUGACCGAGCGACGCCGCGUGAGCGAUGAAGGUCCUAUGGAUUGUAAAGCUCUGUCAGAUUGGGAAGAAAACUUCGCGAUUAAUACCCGCGAAGCUUGACGGUACCAUCAGAGGAAGCACCGGCUAACCCCGUGCCAGCAGCCGCGGUAAUACGGAGGGUGCGAGCGUUGUUCGGAUUCACUGGGUAUAAAGGGUGCGUAGGCGGCCUCGUAAGUCAGGGGUGAAAUAUGACGGCUCAACCGUCAAACUGCCCCUGAAACUGCAAGGCUUGAGUCCGGGAGAGGAAGGUGGAAUUCCUGGUGUAGCGGUGAAAUGCGUAAAUAUCAGGAGGAACACCGGUGGCGAAGGCGGCCUUCUGGUCCGGUACUGACGCUGAGGCACGAAAGCUAGGGGAGCGAACAGGAUUAGAUACCCUGGUAGUCCUAGCCGUAAACGAUGGGCACUAGGUGUCGGAGGAGUCUACCCCUUCGGUGCCGCAGCUAAUGCAUUAAGUGCCCCACCUGGGGAGUACGAUCGCAAGGUUGAAACUCAAAGGAAUUGACGGGGGCCCGCACAAGCGGUGGAGCAUGUGGUUUAAUUCGAUGCAACGCGAAGAACCUUACCUGGGCUUGACAUGCAGGGGACAGGUGCAGAAAUGUACCCUUCUUCGGACCCCUGUGCAGGUGCUGCAUGGCUGUCGUCAGCUCGUGUCGUGAAAUGUUGGGUUAAGUCCCGCAACGAGCGCAACCCCUGUCUUCAGUUGCCAUCAGUUCGGCUGGGGACUCUGGAGAGACUGCCGGUGACAAACCGGAGGAAGCUGGGGACGACGUCAAGUCAUCAUGGCCCUUACGCCCAGGGCUACACACGUGCUACAAUGGUCGGUACAAUGGGCAGCAAUACCGUGAGGUGGAGCGAAUCCCAAAAAGCCGGCCUCAGUUCG
rnacentral:rRNA from 1 species